AACAAAAAGAUCAAUAACAAAAAAAAUAUUUUCCAUUUCUUGAUCGUUUUCUUCACUGAGCUUGAGCUCAACUAAUAUGGUAUUAUAGUCUCGAAGCUUCAAUACUUUCAUUUCUUUCUUUCUUUCUUUUGAUCUCAAUCAGUUGUUGAUUUUUCUCAAUUGAUUUUUCUUCAUGAAAGAUUCAAUGGUAUUCCGCCUACAAUCGUAAAUUUCACGCAAAGCUUCUCAACAAUGGUGAUCAGAUGAAAGGUUGACGCCGUGUUGGUCGUACAACAUCAUUGGCGAGGAAAACCUAUGUUCUUGAAACUUUGUCACCGGAUCCUUUGUCUCCACUGUCAGAAUCGUUCAACAACAUUCACUCUCCUUUCCAUCUCGUUAAUAGAGAUAAUCAGGGAUUGCCAUAAUAUCAAGGGAUUUGGAAAGAUUUGGAAACUCUUUUCCACAUCACAAACAUUCCAAGAUCGUAUCAACUAUCUCAACAUAUCUUGUCAUUGCAACAAGGAUCUAUGGAUCUUGCAACAACCACGCGACACUGAAAACUCUAUGUGAUGAAGUGGAUGAGGCUGCUUGUGUGGAAGCAUGUCACAACUAUGAUUAUUGCAAGGCUACAGAUAAGAAGGCUGAUCAGGCGAAGAUCAUUAAGUUCUUAGCAUGCUUAAAUGAAAUUGUAUGCCAUCAGUCGGGUUUCUGAACUCUCUGAGAUCUAUAAUCAACUAGAUCAAGACUACUAACAAAGAUCUUUUAACUCA